AUGAAUUUCUUAGGAACCUUUAUUAUAAAUGGAAUAUACCGAAUUGUGAUCAAUCAAAUAUUGCUAAGUCCUGGUAUUUACUACCGCUCGGAAUUAGAUCAUAAGGGAAUUUCUAUCUACACUGGGACUAUAAUAUCAGAUUGGGGAGGGAGAUCGGAAUUAGCAAUUGAUAAAAAAGAAAGGAUAUGGGCUCACGUGAGUAGAAAACAAAAGAUAUCUGUUCUAGUUCUAUCAUCAGCUACAGGUUCGAAUAUAAGAGAAAUUCUAGAUAAUGUUUCCUACCCUGAAAUUCUCUUGUCUUUCCCGAAUGCCAAGGAGAAGAAGAGGAUUGAGUCAAAAGAAAAAGCUAUUUUGGAGUUUUAUCAACAUUUUGCUUGUGUAGGUGGGGACCUGGAUUGGUCGACGAAAUAUGAAUCGGAGACUUAA
rnacentral:rRNA from 1 species